GACGAACGCUGGCGGCGUGCUUAACACAUGCAAGUCGAACGAUGAAGCCGGAGCUUGCUCUGGUGAAUUAGUGGCGAACGGGUGAGUAACACGUGAGUAACCUGCCCUUGACUCUGGGAUAACUGCUAGAAAUGGUAGCUAAUACCGGAUACGACCCUCGGCGGCAUCGCCAGGGGGUGGAAAGAAUUUCGGUCAAGGAUGGACUCGCGGCCUAUCAGCUAGUUGGUGAGGUAACGGCUCACCAAGGCGACGACGGGUAGCCGGCCUGAGAGGGUGACCGGCCACACUGGGACUGAGACACGGCCCAGACUCCUACGGGAGGCAGCAGUGGGGAAUAUUGUACAAUGGGCGCAAGCCUGAUGCAGCAACGCCGCGUGAGGGAUGACGGCCUUCGGGUUGUAAACCUCUUUUAGUAGGGAAGAAGCGAAAGUGACGGUACCUGCAGAAAAAGCACCGGCUAACUACAUGCCAGCAGCCGCCGUAA
rnacentral:rRNA from 1 species